GACGUAGGGGGCGAGCGUUGUCCGGAAUUACUGGGCGUAAAGGGCGCGUAGGCGGCCACUUAAGUCAGGUGUAAAAAACCCGGGCUCAACCCGGGGGAUGCACAUGAAACUGGGUGGCUAGAGGGCAGGAGAGGGGAGUGGAAUUCCCGGUGUAGCGGUGAAAUGCGUAGAUAUCGGGAGGAAUACCAGUGGCGAAGGCGACUCUCUGGACUGACCCUGACGCUGAGGCGCGAAAGCGUGGGGAGCAAACAGG
rnacentral:rRNA from 1 species